rnacentral:rRNA from 1 species
UACGGAGGGUGCGAGCGUUGUCCGGAAUCAUUGGGCGUAAAGGGCGCGUAGGUGGCGGGACAAGCGUGCGGUGAAAGCUCGGGGCUCAACCCCGAGUCGGCCGUGCGAACUGUUUUGCUUGAGCACUGUAGAGGCAGGCGGAAUUCCGGGUGUAGCGGUGGAAUGCGUAGAGAUCCGGAAGAACACCGGUGGCGAAGGCGGCCUGCUGGGCAGUAGCUGACACUGAGGCGCGACAGCGUGGGGAGCAAACAGGAUUAGAAACCCC